CUGUGCCAAACAAAUAUGCGUGUCAUCUAAGGUGACACGCUGUGGUGACCCCUAACGGGACAAGGCGAAGGGAAAAGAAGAAGAAGGAUGCUGUCAGUUCAACAAAUCCAUGAUCACAUGGCAAAGUUGACACCCCUGCCGUAGAAGAUGAGGGGAGUGGAGGAUUCAGGACCGAUGGAGGCAUCGGGACCUCCACACAGUGUGAUGCGUGAACCCACACAGCCCUUUCAGAAACCUUCACAUCAGAAGUUCUUCAUCAGCACAAAGUCACCGGGUUUAACGUCAGAAAAAGAGCCCCUCGACCGCCCUUGGUAGUGCUGGAUGAACUUUUUUUCCUGACAUCAAAGAGCAGGUUCGUCAAAUAUGUACAAUACCUGAUCAUGUUGUCCAUCGGCAAGCCUGGAGGAUGCAGUCUCACAUUCGGAGGGCCUGCAAACAGGAUCUCAAACUG